UCGAACGAGACCUUCGGGUCUAGUGGCGCACGGGUGCGUAACGCGUGGGAAUCUGCCCUUCGGUUCGGAAUAACUCAGGGAAACUUGAGCUAAUACCGGAUGAUGACUUCGGUCCAAAGAUUUAUCGCCGAGGGAUGAGCCCGCGUAGGAUUAGCUUGUUGGUGAGGUAAAAGCUCACCAAGGCGACGAUCCUUAGCUGGUCUGAGAGGAUGAUCAGCCACACUGGGACUGAGACACGGCCCAGACUCCUACGGGAGGCAGCAGUGGGGAAUAUUGGACAAUGGGCGAAAGCCUGAUCCAGCAAUGCCGCGUGAGUGAUGAAGGCCUUAGGGUUGUAAAGCUCUUUUACCCGGGAUGAUAAUGACAGUACCGGGAGAAUAAGCCCCGGCUAACUCCGUGCCAGCAGCCGCGGUAAUACGGAGGGGGCUAGCGUUG
rnacentral:rRNA from 1 species